rnacentral:rRNA from 1 species
AUGGAGAGGGUCGAGGUUGACGCGGACUUUGUUGUUGCUGGCAAUUGGAAGCUACAUGGUGAACUAUGUAAGAAACUUUACACUAUAGUUCAUGAAGUUUCAAUUGCCAUCCCUGCCCUUGAGAGUACAAAACCUGGAAGUAAUUCUGGACUUCUGGCGUUGAGCUCCUUGCGCAUAGCUGUUGAUAAAGCCAAGAAUCUGCUUCAGUAUUGCUCAGAGUGUAGCAAGCUUUACUUGGCCCUAACAGCAGAAUGUGUUCUUACAAAAUUUGAGAAAGCAAGAUGCGCUCUUUUAGAAAGUCUUCACCAGUUGGAAGAAACACUUCCAGAAGCAAUUGAUUCUCAGAUCCCAGAGAUUGCAAAUGAGCUGGAGAAUUCAGUUUUUGCUUUGGAUCAGGCUGAAAAGCAAGUUGGUGAUCAAGUGAAACAGAUAAUUCAGAAUGAGAAGAAAUCCAAUGGAUUCCUUGAUGACAAUGAACUUGAAUUCUUUCGGCAAACUAUUUUGAGAGCUGGCAUUACAUCAUCUGCUGCAGCUCUUACUGAGAGAAGAGCACUUAGAAGGCUUCUUGAAAGAGCCCAGGCAGAAGAAGACACAAAGAAAGAAUCAAUAGCAUCCUAUCUGCUACAUCUUAUGAGGAAAUAUUCAAGUCAUUUCAGGAGCGAAACAAUGGAUUCCAUCAGCUCCCAGUGCUCAAGUCCUUCGUGCUCCUUCACUUCAAUGUCCAGCUCAACUGAUCUCCAUGGAAAUCUCGAGAAGCUCCUGCCUAGGUCUGGCUCCAUCAAUUUCAAGCAGAUUAAAGGGCUAUCAGGGAGCAUGCCAUUGCCACCUGAGGAACUAAGGUGUCCAAUCUCUCUGCAGCUCAUGUAUGACCCUGUUGUUAUCGCAUCUGGUCAGACCUACGAGCGAGCUUGCAUCGAGAAAUGGUUUAACAGUGGGAAUACAACCUGCCCCAAAACUCGGAAAGAGUUACCCCAGCUUUCCGUGACACCUAAUUACUGCAUCAAGGGUCUGAUAACAUCCUGGUGUGAACAAAAUGGGGUUCCAGUUCCUAAUGCCCCGCCAGAAUCCCCAAAGCUCAAAUAUUUGAGGAUAACAUCUCUGAAGAGUAGCAAAUGCGUGGUGACGAAUGGUGUUAGCACGAUUUUGUUCGAAGACGCAGGCGCAAAAGACACAAAAGACGACAAGUUGAACACCGACGUUGCUUUGGAGAAGUGCUCUAGUCAUAAUUCCAGGGAAGCAACAUCUGAGACAUGCGAAGAAGAGGAGGAGGUCUCUGUGGACAAGUGCUCUUUUCAGAAUAACCCUGUAGAGGCUGCACCCGAGAGAUGUGAACGCUGGCUGCGUGUGCUAAGCAAGGGCAGUGAGUGCAUCGAUGAGCAGCGUGAGGUGGUCGAGCAGGUCAGGUUCCAGUUGAAGGGUGAUGAUGAGCUCAGGGACUAUGUGGGUGCUAAUGGUAUUACUGAGCCACUCACCUGCUUCCUGAAGAUGGCUCUCAGCAGAGAAGACGUGCAAUCUCAGGAGGUCGGAACAAUGGCUCUUUUCAAUCUUGCCGUCAGCAAUAACAGGAACAAGCGGCAGCUGCUCUCAGCUGGAGUUAUCCCUCUGAUGGAGCAGAUGAUGCAGAAACCGGAGACCUGCGAGGCUGCGGUGGCGAUGUACCUCAACCUCUCCUGUCUGGAGGAGGCGCAGGCCAUCAUCGGCUCGAGCCAAGUCAUCCCUGUCCUGAUCAGGUGCCUGCAAGAAGAAGGGUACCGGAGCGACACGUGCCGGCUGGACGCGCUCCUGACGCUGUACAACCUGUCCCUGCACGCGCCCAACAUCCCGGCGCUCCUCUCGUCGGGCGUCGUCCACAGCAUCCACACCGUCCUGGCGCCAUCGUCGUCGUCGUGGACGGACCAGGCCCUGACCUUGCUGAUCAACCUGGCGCUGACCUGGGCCGGGAAGAAGGAGAUUGCGGCGAACCAGGCCAUCGUGGGCGACAUCGUGUUCAUCCUGGACAACGGCGAGGCGGCGGAGCAGGAGAAGGCGGUGUCGUGCCUGUGGAUGAUCUGCAACGGCGACGAGGGGUGCAGCCAGACGGUGCUGCAGGAGGGCGUGAUCCCGGCGCUGGUGUCCCUGACGGCGAACGGCACGGGCAAGGCCAAGGACAAGGCGCAGAAGCUGCUCCGGCUGUUCCGGGAGCAGCGGCAGCGCGAGCUGGAGCAGCAGCAGCCGCGGGUGGAGCUGCUCGAGGUGGCCAGCCAGGCCGCCGCGCAGCAGGAACAGGAGGAGGAAGAGCAGCAGCAGCAACAACAGCAGGAGGAGGCCGCGGCGGCGGCGGGGAAGACGGCGGCGUCCGAGCAGAGCAGCGAGGGCAAGAAGCCGCCGGCGCGGCUGAGCAGGUCCAAGUCCAAGCGGCUGGCCAGGGUCAUCACCUGCCUCAUCAAAAAGUGGACGACGCCAGGCGGCGGCGGCGACAAGUGUAAACUGUGA